GAAGUAGGACGGAUAAUCGCUUAUUUUUCCCUUCGGGAGAUGAAAAUGAGAGGAAAGUCUGAACUCCAUGAAGAAACAGAAGUGGCUAAUGACCACAGGGAGCGAUCCCAUGGAAAGUGCAACAGAAAAUAAACCGCCCACUUGUGGGUAAGGGUGAAAAAGUGAGGUAAGAGCUCACUGUGGACGUAGAAAUAUGUUCUGCUGGUAAACCCUACUGGGAGCAAUACUAAGUUAGAUGUGUCCGUUUGGACAGUGUUCUUCACACAAACAUCGUGGUAAGUAGCUUGAGGUUGCGGGCAACCGCAGUCCCAGAUUAAUGAUUAUCAAAACAGAAUUCGGCUUAUGUUCUACUUCAAUA
rnacentral:RNase_P_RNA from 1 species